rnacentral:rRNA from 1 species
UACGGAGGGGGCCAGCGUUGUUCGGAAUCAUUGGGCGUAAAGGGCGCGUAGGUGGCUGUGCAAGUCGGAGGUGAAAUCCCUCGGCCCAACCGAGGAACUGCCUCCGAAACUGCAUGGCUCGAGUCCCGGAGAGGGCAGUGGAAUUCCCAGUGUAGCGGUGAAAUGCGUAGAUAUUGGGAGGAACACCGGUGGCGAAGGCGGCUGCCUGGACGGGUACUGACGCUGAUGCGCGAAAGCGUGGGGAGCAAAC